rnacentral:lncRNA from 1 species
UUUGGAUCGGUUCGGUUUGGAUUUUUUGCCCACCCCUACUUUUUAUGUUCUUCGGACGAAUCAGUAUAUUGGAUUGUAAUCCGAGAAAUAUCUAUAGUUCUAAUUUGGGAUUUGGCCAGUAUUAUACAACCAAAGGAAUUGAAGACGUAUUUAAUGCGACAUGAACUUGAAGGUCGCAAGAAGAUUAGAAGUGAUGGUUCUUUCUUCACAAGGAAAACCUUUCAACAAAAACAACUUAUAUUUUCUUGGUUUGCUUUGUUGUCUUUGUUUUAUUUUAGCUAUAUUUGUUGUUUUA